ACAUCGCCCCACAUCACCCCAUAGCCUGCCCCAUAGCGCAACCCACAGUGCCCCACAUCACCCCACAGCCUGCCCCAUAGCGUGACCCAGAGUGCCCCUACAUCGCCCCACAUCGCCCCAUAGCCUGCCCCAUAGUGUGACCCACAUUACCCCAUAUCAUGCCCCAUAGCGCGACCCAGAGUGCCCCCACCUUGCCCCGUAGUGCCAUACAGUGCCCCACAUCGCCCCAUAGCGUGCCCCAUAGCGUACCCCAGGGUGCCCCCUAGCCCCACAUCACCCCAUAGCACAACCCCUAGCCCCCCCCAGCCCCACAUCGCCCCACGCUUUUCCCCUCCCUCCCCACACAGAGCUGCCGCGCUGCCCUAUGGCGGAUGUGGGACGCGCUAUGGGGCAGAGCUAUGGGGCGGCGCUCCCCGAGCACCCCGCCCCAUACGCCACUCCUGCCCCACACCGACCUGUGGGAUGAAGAAGAGGAGGAAGAGGAGAGUGGGGCGCUGUGGGGCCACGGCCCCCCCGGGAGCCCCACCGCCUUCCGCCCCACUGCCUCCACCCCACAGCACCGUGGGUCGCCACCAAGGUGAGUGCUGCCCCAUAGCCCUGCCCCAUAGCGCUGUCCUAUGACCCUGCCCCAUAGCCCUGCCCCAUAGCGCUGUCCUACGACCCUGCCCCAUAGCCCUGCCCCAUAGUGCUGUCCUAUGACCCUGCCCCAUAGCGCUGUCCUAUGACCCUGCCCCGUAGCCCUGCCCCACUGUCCUGUCCUACGACCCUACCCCAUAGCGCUGCCCCAUAACCUGAGCCGUCUCACCCCACAGCACCCCCGAGGGCAGCCCCACCGCUAUGGGGCGCCUACGCCGCACUCUCACCUUCGAGGAGGAUCCAGAGCUCCCUAGCGUCGCCCCAUAGCGCCGCCCCAUAGCGCUGCCCCAUAAGGGGGGCGCUGAUUGGCCAACGGGACGGAAACAACGCUUCUGGUUGGCCGAUGGGACGGGACUGAGUUCUGAUUGGCUGAAGGAAUGCCGCUUGAUUGGCCGAAGGAACAGGAACAAUCUUCUGAUUGGCCAAAGGAAUAGCAGAAUGCUUCUGAUUGGCCAAUGCGCUAGGAAUGCAUUCUGAUUGGCUGAAGGAAUGGGAGCAGCACUCCUGAUUGGCCAGCGGGUGGCGCUGGGAUCCGCCCAUUAAAGUGCUAAACCGCUACGGAGGGGGGGCGUGGCCGAACAUAAGCCCCGCCCACUCCAGUGCCCUGCCGCAAUCCCAUUGGCUGACGUCAACGUCGCCGCGCCAUAUAUGGACACAGGCUGCCGCGAGUCGAUUUGCAUAGCCACGCUCGCCGCGUCGCGAUUUGCAUAAAUCUUUCAUAUUCAUGAGCUUGGCCCACGCCCUCCCGCCUCUCCAGCAGGGACCCCGAUGGGAGAAUCGAGUGGAGGCGAAUCUGUGGGGCAGAUGUGGGGUGUCUAUGGGGCAGAUGUGGG
rnacentral:lncRNA from 1 species